rnacentral:rRNA from 1 species
AUGGAUAUUGGAGAAAGCAACAAGAAUGGCAAGGGAAGCACUAGAGCUGGGACAUUAGGACCUAGGGCACCAAAGAUACAUUGGCCUCAAGCCUUAUCAAAGUUCGUACUUGAUUGGUACAUUGAGAAGAAGAUGGAGCUGCCACCAAAGGCGGUGUUUAAGAAGCUGCAUCACGCUGCAUGUACAAAAGCAGUAAAUGAGAAGUAUGGCAGUACCUACACUGUUGAACAAGUUCAUCGUCACUUUAGACGUCAUAAAGAGACUUGGGCACUUGUAGCUCGCCAUAUGAAUGCUAGUGGUAAUGGCUGGUAUGAUCUUACCAAAAUGGUUACUCUCUCCAAAUCUGCUUUGGAUGAACUGUCGGUAAUGACCUUUAUCACUUGA